rnacentral:lncRNA from 1 species
ACUACUUUGUUGUUCUUCACAAUUAGUUGGAGCUUUCUUUGGUCAACAGCAGAUGUGACUAAGAAAAUCACGCUGUUUCACUUAGAGCAGUGGUCACCAAGUGUGGUCCUUAGGCCACACAGGUCAGCAUCACCUAGGAACUAGGAAAUGCAAGUUCUUAAGCAAUCCCACCCAGACCUACUGAAUUGGAAGUGCUGAGGAUGGGGUCCAGCAAUCUGUGGUUGAACAAGCUCUGCAGGCAUCCAGGAGCAGAGCUGUGGGGCAGCAGAAUCUGUGAUGACAGAGAAUGAUGAUGUAUUUUUGCCAGCAGAUGCUUUUGCUCCUGUUUUGAUACCCCAAUAUUCGGAUGCAGAAAAGGACUCUGAGCAUUGCUGACGGGUGUGCUCUGCACACCUAUCUCUUCAGGAUCUGAAUAAUUUGGUGGAAAGACAAUGCCUUUUCUGGAAAAGGGUGUCAGUCUCCACAAAGAACAAUGUUCUUCCCAACCUGCCAAGACAGCCAAAUAACAAAAGAAAUACCCGUGGAGCCCACCUGAAGUGCACAGAUCUGGGGACAUUGGGAGGAACAGAGGUAGCUUAGUGACUCUACUGUCCCUACCACCCAACCUGCUAUUAGCCCUGCUGGUCCGCUCGUGUUUGAGGUCAUGAGUCAGUCUACUUAAUAAAAUCAUCAGCUGGAGCUUACAAAGCAAUAGUGCUUAAUAGAUACAAGCAUGCUAAUAUAUUUUUUAAGUGAAUGCUGAUCUUUCUGAGCUGUGUGUCUAAAAUCAUCAUUGUGAAUAAAAGAAUUGUAAUUUCCAACCCAAAAA